rnacentral:rRNA from 1 species
AUUGAACGCUGGCGGCAGGCCUAACACAUGCAAGUCGAGCGAGCGACGGACGGGUGAGUAAUUUCUGGGAAACUGCCUGAUGGAGGGGGAUAACUACUGGGAACGGUAGCUCAUACCGCAUACCAUCAGAUGUGCCCCGAGGGGAUGAGCGAGUAGGUGGGGUAACGGCUUACCGAGGCGACGAUCCCUAGCUGGUCUGAGAGGAUGACCAGCCACACUGGAACUGAGACACGGUCCAGACUCCUACGGGAGGCAGCAGUGGGGAAUAUGGCACAAUGGGCGCAAGCCUGAUGCAGCCAUGCCGCGUGUGUGAAGAAGGCCUUCGGGUUGUAAAGCACUUGCAGCGGGGAGGCGUUACCCGCAGAAGAAGCACCGGCUAACUCCGUGCCAGCAGCCGCGGUAAUUC